GGCUUUUUUCUCCGUUUAGACAGACACUCUUUUUCAUCCCCGAGAUUUUUCCCUUUGAGUUUUGUCCGAGAAGGUUUUAAUGAGGCCUGACCCUCAAUUAGUGUUCUUGUGCUCUCGAUGGGUUCUUUUUAAGUUUUUUUUUUUCGUUUUCGCUAAUAAAAUCUCAUUUCAGGUUAGAUAUUCAAUUGAAAAAGCUUCAUCGUCGAGGUCAACUUCUUCAUCAUCUUUGCAAAUAUUAUCUGAGCUAAGACAUAUCCUUUCUUUGGUACAUCAAGGAUACGACAUGGUCACUAAUCGAAUAAUCCAUUUCACUGGUAGGGCCAUGAUUAUUCU
rnacentral:lncRNA from 1 species